rnacentral:rRNA from 1 species
CCAAUAGCGUAUAUUAAAGUUGUUGCAGUUAAAAAGCUCGUAGUUGAAUUUCGGGAUCAGAUUGUCGGUCGUGCCUCGGUACGCACUGGCAUUAUUGGUUCCUACCUUCUGAAGAACCGCGAUGUCAUUAAUUUGGUGUCGUGGGGAAUCAGGACUGUUACUUUGAAAAAAUUAGAGUGUUUAAAGCAGGCGCACGCUUGAAUACAUUAGCAUGGAAUAAUGAAAUAGGACGUUUGAUUCUAUUUUGUUGGUUUCUAGGAUCAACGUAAUGAUUAACAGGGAUAGUUGGGGGCAUUAGUAUUCAAUUGUCAGAGGUGAAAUUCUUGGAUUUAUUGAAGACUAACUACUGCGAAAGCAUUUGCCAAGGAUGUUUUCAUUAAUCAAGAACGAAAGUUAGGGGAUCGAAGACGAUCAGAUACCGUCGUAGUCUUAACCAUAAACUAUGCCGACUAGGGAUCGGAUGAUGUUGAUUUUUUAAUGACUCAUUCGGCGCCUUACG